UAACACCUGGAAACAGAUGCUAAUACCGGAUAACAAUAGAUGAUGCCUAUCAACUGUUUAAAAGAUGGUUCUGCUAUCACUCUUGGAUGGACCUGCGGUGCAUUAGCUAGUUGGUAGGGUAACGGCCUACCAAGGCGAUGAUGCAUAGCCGAGUUGAGAGACUGAUCGGCCACAUUGGGACUGAGACACGGCCCAAACUCCUACGGGAGGCAGCAGAC
rnacentral:rRNA from 1 species